rnacentral:rRNA from 1 species
ACGGUCCUAAGGUAGCGAAAUUCCUUGUCGGGUAAGUUCCGACCUGCACGAAUGGCAUAACGAUGGCCACACUGUCUCCUCCCGAGACUCAGUGAAGUUGAAAUGUUUGUGAUGAUGCAAUCUACCCGCGGCUAGACGGGAAGACCCCAUGAACCUUUACUGCAGCUUUGCAUUGAACUGUGAACCGAUUUGUGUAGGAUAGGUGGGAGGCAGAGAAGAGGCCACGCCAGUGGCCUUGGAGCCGACCUUGAAAUACCACCCUGAUUUGUUUGCGGUUCUAACCACGGACAGUGAUCCUGUCUUGGGACCGUGCAUGGUAGGCAGUUUGACUGGGGCGGUCUCCUCCUAAAGGGUAACGGAGGAGUACGAAGGUACGCUAGGUACGGUCGGAAAUCGUGCUGAUAGUGCAAUGGCAAAAGCGUGCUUGACUGCGAGAGCAACAACUCGAGCAGAUGCGAAAGCAGGUCAUAGUGAUCCGGUGGCUCUGAAUGGAAGGGCCAUCGCUCAACGGAUAAAAGGUACUCUGGGGAUAACAGGCUGAUACCGCCCAAGAGUUCAUAUCGACGGCGGUGUUUGGCACCUCGAUGUCGGCUCAUCGCAUCCUGGGGCUGUAGUCGGUCCCAAGGGUAUGGCUGUUCGCCAUUUAAAGAGGUACGUGAGCUGGGUUUAAAACGUCGUGAGACAGUUUGGUCCCUAUCUGCCGUGGGCGUUGGAAGAUUGACGGGGGCUGCUCCUAGUACGAGAGGACCGGAGUGGACGCACCUCUGGUGUACCGGUUGUCACGCCAGUGGCAUUGCCGGGUAGCUAAGUGCGGAAGAGAUAACCGCUGAAAGCAUCUAAGCGGGAAACUUGCCUGAAGAUGAGUCUUCCCGGAGGUUGAACCUCCCUCAAGAGUCGUCCGAGACCAGGACGUCGAUAGGUCAGGUGUGUAAGCGCUGUAAGGCGUUGAGCUAACUGAUACUAAUUGCUCGUGAGGCUUGAUCCU